AAUGCUCACAUGCUCUUUUCUCUCUCCCCUCUUUUUUCUUUGGAACAAAAGAGGGGAGAGAGAAAAGAGCAUGUGAGA
rnacentral:miRNA from 1 species